CGUAGGUGGCAAGCGUUGUCCGGAAUUAUUGGGCGUAAAGGGCGCGUAGGCGGUCCCUUAAGUCAGAUGUGAAAUCCCGAGGCUUAACCUCGGGCGUGCAUUUGAAACUGGGGGACUAGAGUGCAGGAGAGGUAAGUGGAAUUCCUAGUGUAGCGGUGAAAUGCGUAGAUAUUAGGAGGAACACCAGUGGCGAAGGCGACUUACUGGACUGUAACUGACGCUGAGGCGCGAAAGCGUGGGGAGCAAACAGGAUUAGAUACCCUGGUAGUCCACGCUGUAAACGAUGGAUACUAGGUGUGGGAGGUAUCGACCCCUUCCGUGCCGCAGUAAACGCAAUAAGUAUCCCGCUGGGGAGUACGGCCGCAAGGUUG
rnacentral:rRNA from 1 species